rnacentral:rRNA from 1 species
UAUUGCACAAUGGGCGAAAGCCUGAUGCAGCGACGCCGCGUGAGUGAAGAGGUAUCUCGGUANGUAAAGCUCUAUCAGCAGGGAANNCCNNNANGGUACCUGAUUAAGAAGCCCCGGCUAACUACGUGCCAGCAGCCGCGGUAAUACGUAGGGGGCAAGCGUUAUCCGGAUUUACUGGGUGUAAAGGGAGCGUAGACGGUGAUGCAAGUCAGAAGUGAAAGCCCGGAGCUCAACUCCGGGACUGCUUUUGAAACUGUGUGACUGGAGUGCAGGAGAGGUAAGCGGAAUUCCUGGUGUAGCGGUGAAAUGCGUAGAUAUCAGGAGGAACACCAGUGGCGAAGGCGGCUUGCUGGACUGUAACUGACGUUGAGGCUCGAAAGCGUGGGGAGCAA